rnacentral:sRNA from 1 species
GAGCACAAGCGGCUGAUACCAAAAAGAAAGGCGGCCCGAGGACCGCCUUUCCGCACAACUCUG